rnacentral:rRNA from 1 species
UACGUAGGGUGCGAGCGUUAAUCGGAAUUACUGGGCGUAGAGCGUGCGCAGGCGGAGAGCUGUGUCCGAUGUGAAAGCCCCGGGCUUAACCUGGGAAUGGCAUUGGAAACUGGCUCGCUGGAGUGUGGCAGAGGGGGGUGGAAUUCCGCGUGUAGCAGUGAAAUGCGUAGAUAUCAGGAGGAACACCGGUGGCGAAGGCGGGUCUCUGGGCCGAUACUGACGCUGAGGAGCGAAAGCGUGGGGAGCGAACAGG